rnacentral:rRNA from 1 species
GAUGAACGCUGGCGGCGUGCUUAACACAUGCAAGUCGAACGGAAAGGCCGAAGCUUGCUUCGGUACUCGAGUGGCGAACGGGUGAGUAACACGUGGGUGAUCUGCCCUGUACUUCGGGAUAAGCUUGGGAAACUGGGUCUAAUACCGGAUAUGACGAUCCCUUGGAUGGGGUGGUGGAAAGCUUUUGCGGUUUGGGAUGUGCUUGCGGCGUAUCAGGAUGUUGGUGGGGUAAUGGCCUACCAAGGCGUCGACGGGUAGCCGGCCUGAGAGGGUGUACGGCCACAUUGGGACUGUGAUACGGGCCAGACUCCUACGGGAGGCAGCAGUGGGGAAUAUUGCACACUGGGCGCAAGCCUGAUGCAGCGACGCCGCGGGGGGGAUGACGGCCUUCGGGUUGUAAACUCCUUUCGCAAUCGACGAAGCGUUUUGGUGACGGUAGGUUGAGAAGAAGCACCGGCUAACUACGUG